GUAAUACAAUAUCCAUUAAAUUAAAGGUUUGGAGGGAAAAUCCUGGCCUUUGGGAAACAGGGAAAACCUAGCCAAUUGGACUGUAUGUCUCAGGAAUGGACAUGGAAUAGAACAAUCGUCCAGAAGAAUCUCCUCCACCCCAUGUCACUAGAUCUUGUCUACCCAAGCCAAGCCCCUGACCACCUCUCCCCAUUCAGAACGAGUGACCACUAAUGGAGCAAAGAGAAAUCUCUAGCUUCGGACAGAGGAGGUACGGAAAGGGUUCCAGUGUGUCACGGGGAGGCUCCUGGAGAUGGCACCUCAGAAUCUGGUCACUGUAAGGAAAGCUGGUUAGCAGGUUGGCCAUGGCAGUUCCCAGUGACGUCAUCAGCAGUCCCUUCCCUGAACAAUCUCUUGUAUCCAGGAGAGCCCUAGCGUCUUCUGUGAGGUCACAAGUGUAAUGGUGACACUAGCUACCUCUUGGAUAUUCCUUCAGUGCCUCUAGGGUUCACUAAUUGGCGUGUUGUCCAGGGCCCUAAAGACCAUCAUGGAAAAUGGAGCAGAAAGACUGUAGGAGCCAGAGGUCAGGAAGAACAGAGGAACACAGUGUCUCCUGCCCUCAUGGCAUACAGCAACUGUGAUCACCUGCACAGUAUCAGGUUAGUAACACUUAAGCAUGGAAUAAGUAGGUUCCAUGAGCCCCCACUACUAAACAGAUGAACUAUGGACGGUAAUGGCUUCUGCUGGAGGGAGGAAAGGUUUUCUUUAAGGGUCUAUCCCUGCGAGUAUUAAAUAAUGAAGAAGAGAUACAAAGCUGAGAGUCACAGAAGAAGGAGCAGAUUUGGGGGACCAUAUGAGAGGAAUAUGAUCAAAAGACAUUGUAAGAAGUUCUCGAAGAAUUAGUAUGAAUAUUUUAAAGUAUAUUCACCUAAAUUAUUGAUGCAAACAGGGUAUUAUUAUAUAUGGAUCUUUCAUUAAGUGACUUUAAUAAAUCUUAUUAACUGCUGCAAUGUAUAUGCCAAUUUUUUGUGUCCACCCAUAGAGAAUGAUCUAAUUUGCCAUUAAUAGUUUAAGUGGCAGGCUAAAAAUGAGAAAAAUUAUUUCCAACUAUAUAUAUACUACAUGAUUGAUAUCAGAAAUACAAACCAAAAAACGAUAUUGAGGGAGGAAAUAACUUAAUUAAGUAGGGAGCAUAUAUAAACAGAAUUUUCACUAUAGGAAACCCAAAUGGCUGAGAAACACUUAAAGGAAUGUUUAGCAUCCUUGUAGUCAUAGAAAUGUAAAUCAAACUCUGAGACUCCACCUUACACCUCUCAGAAUGGCUAAGAUAAAUAACACUAGUGACAACUCAUGUUGCCUAGGAUGUGGAGAAGGGGGAGCAUACAUCUACUGCCCACGGGAAUGGAAAGUCAUGUAGCCACUGUGCAAAUCAGUGUGGUUCUUCCUCAGGAAGCUGGGAAUGCAUCUACCUCAAGAUCCCUCUCCUGUGCGUAUGUGCAAAGAAUGUUUCAUCCUACUAUGGAGGCACUUGCUCGACCAUGUUCAUUGAUGCUCUAUUCAUAAUAGUCAGAGAUUGGAAAGAUCCAAUAUCUGUCUCUCAACAGGUGAAUGGAUUUAAAAAUGUGGUACAUUUAUAUAAUGGACUGUUAGCAGCUUAAGAAGGAAAAAGAAAUCAUGAAAUUCACAGGUUAAUGUAUGGAUCUAGAAAAAGUCAUCCUGAAUAAUGUAACUCAGAACCAGAAUUAAAAAGAUGCUAUAUAUUCAUUUACAUGUGGAUGUUAGCUGUUACUUCUGCAAUCUCUAUAACCACAGGUUAUGAAUAGGGUAAGGGAAGAGAGAAGAGGGACAGAUCUCCAUUAAAUGGGAAAUAGAAUAUAUAGUUAAUGGUGGCUGAGAGACAGGGUCUGGAACAGGAAGGUCAAAUGAGGAGAGGAGGAGAAGACAUGACAAGGGAAGAAAUACAGGGGCUGACGGCUAAAAUGAAGAGGCGUGUGAGGGGUUGUAUGGAAUAGAAUAGAUGCACUGUAACAUAUAUACAUAUGUGAAUGAGAUCUAAAGGAAAUUCACACACACACACACACACACACACACACACACACACACACACAUUGAAAUUCAAAUACAAAAUGGGAGACAGAGCCACAAUCAUGUCACCAAAUGAAGAUUUCAGUACUGGCAAUGGGUUGCAUCUCUUCAAGUUGUUGGCCAAGAGGAUGCCAUGGGAACCUCCAACCAACCCACAUAUUUCAGGCGAUUGAUUGUUCUCCAUAUCCUGACAGCAAAGCCCCUUUGCUGAAGAUAGCACUGACACCCCCAGUGAACAUGGAGAAAUCGAGUUAGUACCUUCAUAGUGUUUUCACCCCUUAGGGACCUGUGCUCACAUUACUAGAAGGUAUUCAGCUCCCCCACCUCAAAAGCUAAACUCCAAUCCAUCCACACACUCUUCAGUCCAUAAUGUUGAGCUGCAUCCAAGAUAUCUUCUGAGUACAGCCAGAUGAAACCUGCUAAAAGCUACACCACAUAGGUUGCAUAUGGCAGAGCUGGAGAGGUAGGAAUGCCAUAUUAUUGGUGCCAUCUAGUAACCUCUGUAGGACUGGAUUAAUAGAAAUAUAUUGUUCAAAUUUGGUUUCGUGAUAGAAUAUCUUGAUUUCUCCAUCUAUGUUGAUUGAUAGUUUUGCUGGGUAUAGUAGUCUUGCCUGACAUCUGCGAUUCCUUACAUUCAGAAAGACGUGUUCAAACCCUUCCGUCUUUUAAAAUCUCUGUUGAGAGGUCAGGGUUAACUUUGGAAGGUUUGCCUUCAUAUGGUACUUGACCUGUUUCCAUUGCAGCUUUUAAUAUUCUUUGUUUGUUCUGUACAUUUAAUGUUUUGAAUAUUAUGUGACAGGAGAAUUUUAAUUUCUAAUCUAAUCCAUUUGGUGUUUUCUGAGCUUCUUAUACAUGUAUAAUGUAGGGAGCUGCGACAUGCCGUGCCUCAAAGAUGGCACUGGUUUCCGUCUUCCACCCUCCCAACGGUGAGCGCUCCUUGUAGUAAACAAGUCCUUAUUUGGCUAUGCCUGCCUGGCCUGCUAGGGUCUGCAUAGUGACAGCCUAUCGGCAUGACCCACGUGGCACGUUGGGGUUGGUUGGGUACUUAAGCUGAUGUAGGGCGUUCCCCAGCGUAGAAGAAGAUUGUAUCAAGGUUUCUGAAUAAACUGCUUGAAGAAGAUCUCCUCUGGUCGUGUCUUCCUUGCUGGUCGAGGUUGGGCACGACAAGUGGUGGCCCGUACGGGACCUCCUGAGAUCAGAACUUCUUGCAGUCAGGGCAGUGCUGGUAAGUUCCCAAGGUAAGGUGGGACCAUAAAGACCUCGGAAAAUAAGCGGCCAUAAAGUCUCAAGGUAGUGAGCAAGAAAGUUCGUGGUAGCAGCGAACCGAAAGUAGCAAGACGCGCAGUGAAUUUAGCUGUAGCAGCGUAGAAAGUUUUUGUCAUGGGGACCUCACAGUCUCAUCCAAUUUUUCUGGCUCUUCAAGAGCUGUUUGAGCGAAAGAAACUAAAAAUAAAAAGGAGCACCAUAGAUUCUUGAGCGAAUGCGAUGCCAUUGCACCCUGGUUCGCAGUCUCUGGUAAUCUUACUGUGGCAAGUUGGGAAAAAUUAGGGAAAGACCUUGACUUUGCCUGGGAACAAGGGACCCUGAAACCUGGGGUCCGUCCAGUAUGGCGCUUAGUGCGUAGCUGCCUUGAAGAUCAGAAAUGUUGUCAGGCAGCUAUAGAGAAGGGGCAAGCUGCCCUAGAAAUGCUUCAAGAGGAGAGGUCAGAAAAGCAGGGAAGCGCAAAGGAGACAGACUCAGAAAAAACAGAUACAGAGGAGGAAACAGACGAAACAGAUUCAGAAGAAGAGUUACAAGAGUUGGUAGAUCAAAUGCGGAAACAGUCUCUAAGGAAUAGACAGAAGAAGAAAAGGAAAAAGCCUAAAAUGGCGGAGGAACCUCCUGGGCGGUUCCCCUCAGCUCCUCCUCCCUGCAAUGUUGUAGAGGGAGGAAGUAGAGUUUCGAGUAGUACAUUCUGCCCUGAAGUGUGGAGAGCAGUUCGUACUGAGCUGCAUUUGGCCUAUCCUGUCUAUGUGGAUGCUAAUCAACAAAGAUAUCAUGAGCCUCUUGAUUUCAAGGUGAUUAAAGCCUUGGCUGAGUCAGUGAGAACAUAUGGUAUCACUAUCUCCUUUACUAUUGCUCAGAUAGAGGCUCUGCACAGAUUUUGCAUGACUCCUAAUGAUUGGACCAACCUGGCGUGAGCGUGCCUCAGCCCAGGGCAGUAUCUAGAUUGGAGAGCUCUUCUAAUUGAAUAUGCCAAUGAACAGGCUGCUGCCAAUUUAGCAGCAGCAGGAGGUGGGCGGGCAGCCUGGGACAGAGACAUGUUGUUAGGGCAAGGGCGUUUUGCUAAUCAGCAGACAGGUUUCCCUGGGGAAGUUUAUGCACAGAUAAAUGAAGUUAAAUUAUUAGAGGGUAAGGGUUUGUUUAUUGCCCCCGAAAAGGUACAAAAGGGCAAUCUUGUAACUUAUUUAGGAGCAAAAGUAAGUCCUUAUACCAUUUUCCCCCAGAACAUUGAAUUGAGGAAAGAUAAUCUUAAGACUCUUAAUGAUUUUCAAAAAUUACUAGGAGAUAUUAAUUGGGUCAGAUGUUAUUUAAAAUUACCAAAUUAUGAAUUAACACUGUUGUAUAAUAUUUGGCUGGGGAUUCGGCCUUGGAUGCUCCUAGACAAUUGACUGAUGAAGCAAGGGAAGCUUUAAAGAAGGUUGAAAAAAGAUUACAAAGCGCCGGUUUACAUCGAUGGAAGGAGGGUGCAGACAUCAUAUUAUGCAUUCUAGUCACCUACAUGCAGCCCACAGGAUUGUUGUGGCAAGAUGGCCCUCUGCUUUGGGUUUAUCCCAAGGCUUCUCCAGAUAGAUCAGUAGAGUACUAUCCUACAGCCAUUGUAGAAUUAACCCUGAAUGGGAUCCAACAAUGCACUCAAUUCUUUGGUGUGUCCCCUACCUCGAUUAUAGUGCCCUAUACAAGUCAGCAGAUAAAGAUCUUAUGGGGCACUGUGGAUGAUUGGGCCAUAUUACGCUGUGGAUUCCAUGGAAAGAUAGAUAAUCAUUAUCCAAAACAUCCUUUGCUAUCAUUUUUUAAGGAACAUCCCGUAAUUUUUCCUAAAGUUACCUCCAGUGUUCCUAUACAGGGGUUGCCAAACAUUUUUACAGAUGGAUCCAAAACUGGCUGUGGAGCCUAUACGGUUGACCAUCAAGAGCCAAUUUUGUGUCAAUAUCAACCCGGCUCUCCACAAGUAAUUGAACUCAAAAUUGUGCUGGAAGUGUUUAAAAAUUGUUCUUUUGCCUUUAAUUUGCUCUCUGAUUCAUCAUAUGUUGUUAAUGCAGUUAAGAUAUUAGAAGUGGCUGGUCCUAUUAAAAUUAGCAGUAUGGUAUGCCAGCUAUUGAGGGAACUUCAGGAAUUGAUCAUCUGCGGAAGAGAUCACAAGUUUUUUGUCUAGCAUAUCAGAGCUCAUACAGGCUUGCCUGGUCCUCUAAGUGAGGGAAAUGAUCUUGUGGAUUGAUGUACCCGAAUGGAGUUUAUCUUCUUAAGCUCAUCAUUGGAUCAGGCCUGACAGUUUCAUCAACAAUUUCAUGUGCCUACUAAAACCUUACAGCAGAAGUUUCAUCUGUCUUGAGCAGAUGCUCGACAGAUAGUUUUAGGAUGUCAACAGUGUAUCACUUUUCACCAUCCCCCUAGUGUAGGGGUUAAUCCUAGAGGCCUCUUGCCCCUAAAGAUUUGGCAAAUGGACGUAACUCACAUAUCUGGAUUUGGGACUCUAAAAUACAUUCAUGUUUCUGUGGAUACCUGCUCAGGUGUCAUUCAUGCUACCCCUAUGAGUGGGGAAAAGGCACGCAAUGUUAUUGGCCACUGCCUAGAAGCCUGGGCUGCCUGGGGAAAGCCCCAACACUUGAAAACUGAUAAUGGCCCAGCAUACACUGCCCAAUCUUUCAAAUCCUUCUGUAAGCAAAUGAAUGUGCAGUUGAGCCAUGGCCUGCCUUAUAAUCCCCAAGGACAAGGUAUUGUUGAGCGAGCUCAUCGCACAUUAAAGGAAUGCCUAAUUAAACAAAAAGGGGGAAUAGACCAUGGCAGAACUCCCAAGGAACAGAUAUCCUUAGCCCUUUUUACUCUUAAUUUUUUGAUUAUGGCUGAUGAUGGCCUUUCUGCUGCUGACCGACAUCAGUGUCGGGCGGGCACGUUGAAAGGUUAUGUGAAGUGGAAAGAUGUGCUCACUGGCUUAUGGCAUGGGCCAGAUCCUGUGCUGGCGUGGGCGAGAGGGUCUGUUUGUGUGUUUCCCCAGGACCUGCAAGAUCCGUUGUGGGUCCCUGAGAGAUUGACCAGGAGGUGCAGCAAGAAUGAAGAUCCUGCUGUUGCUGACACUUCUCAGAGUGACCCAAGUGCUGGUCCAAAUGGAGCCCUGGUGGGGGAUACUAUCGGUGUUCCCGAGACCCAUGCCGAUACGCCAUGACCUUUAAGCCCACUCCUGUAUGUUUAUCUUUCUUUUGUGGGUAUUGUUAAUAAUGCUAGUCAGGAGUUUCGGGAGGUUUUGGUGUGCUCUAUUAAUAUCUGUUUUUUCUUUUUCUUUUUUUUUUUUUCUUUUAUUUCGGAGCUAGGGACCGAACCCAGGGCCUUGUGCUUGCUAGGCAAGCGCUCUACCACUGCGCUAAAUCCCCAACCCAUAAUACCUGUUUUUAUACACAAUGCUGGGAUGCAGAAAAGUUUGCUAUCUCUGUGGUUGUUCGUAUGCCCAGAUGGGUUCCAGUUCCUGUGGAUGCCCCCCAUGCUAUAACUCUAUUUAGACAAAAAGGGGAUUUUGGCAUCACCGCUGCCAUAAUUACAGCUAUAUCCCUUGCCGCAGUAGGAGUAACGACUGCUGCCAUAGCUAUCAGUCAUUCCGUGCAGACAGCCCAUACGUUGAAUAAUUUGUCUUCCAAUGUGGCACAUGCUCUUGAUGUGCAGGCGGGCAUUAAUGCUCAACUUAAAGGUGGCCUGAUGGUGGUCAAUCAAAGAAUUGACCUGGUACAAAAGCAAAUUGACAUACUGUGGCAGCUUGCACAGCUAGGUUGUCAGUGGAGAUACUGUCUCUGGCCUAUGUGUGACCAGUAUUCAGUAUGAAAAUUUUACACGUGCUGCUAAUCUGUCUAAACAGUUGUCAAGUUAUCUUCUGGGUAAUUGGACUGGAGAAUUCGAUUUCUUAAUGGAUCAGCUACGUGUAGCCAUUGUGACUGUGAACUCCACACGUGUGGAUGCUAGACUGGCUACGGGAUUGUCAUCUUGGAUUGCUGCUGCUAUGAAUCAUCUGAGGCGGUGGGCGGCUAUGGGAGCCCUAGCUGGACUCUUGCUGCUGGUCUCCCUAGUGAGCCUGUGCUGUCUCUAUAGAAUGAGGUUUGUCCAGAGGUGGCACGCGGCUAUGGUGGUACAGGCAUUUGCAGCCAUUGAGGCAGGACAGUCCCCUCAAGCCUGGCUUAUGGUCAUUCAGAAGACCUAGUUGCACCUCGCCCCUGAGUAUGUGUGAGUGACCCUGCCCAGUGACGGGCAACUUCCCUUCUACCUAAGCAUGGAACCUUGUGGGCGACGAGGUGUCCUGAGAUGGGUUUAAUGAAGGGAUGUUCCUAAGACAGGGGGGGUCGCCACACUCAGCGGUGCCUUUGCCUGCUUGAUUAAUUAAACAAAAAGGGGGAACUGUAGGGAGCUGCGAUGUGCCGCUCCUCAAAGAUGGCGCUGGUUUCAGCCUCCCACCCUCCCAACAGUGAUUGCUCCUUGUAGUAAACAAGUCCUUAUUUGGCUAUGCCUGCCUGGCCUGCUAGGUUCCGCAUAGUGACAGCCUAUCUGCAUGACCCACGUGGUUUGUUGGGAUUGGCCAGUGCUAGCUAUUUAAGUGUGGUGUGGGGGCUCCCUGGGGUCAGAAGAUUGUAUCAAGUAAAACUGCUUGAAGAAGAUCUCCUCUGGUCGUGUCUUCCUUGCUGGUCAAGGUUGGGCGUGACAGUAUAACACUCUCUUUAAGUCAGGGUAAUUUUUCUUUUAUGAUUUUGUUGAAGUUAUUUUCUGGACAUUUGAGCUGGGAAUUUUCUCCUUCUAUCCCUAUUAUUCUUAGGUUUGGUCUUGUCAUUGUGUGUUAAACAACAUCGAUUGUUUUGUGUUAGAAAUUUUUAGAUUUGUCAUUAUCUUUGGCAUGUAUAUCCGUUUCUUUGUUACACUGAGAUUCUUAGUGUAUCUCUUGUAAUGUGUUGGUGAUGCUUAUGUCUGUAGAUCCUGUUCCCUUGUCUAGUGUGUCCAUCUCCAGGAUUGCCUCAGUUUGUGUUUACUUUAUUGCUUCUAUUUCUACUUUCAGGUCUUACACAACUGUAUCCAUUCCCUUCCCCUGCUUGACUGUAUUUGCCUGUAUUUGUUUACUUUAUCUAUAAAGGUUUCAUCACCUUCAUAAGAUUAGGUUUAAGAUCAUUGCCUUGCUCUUUAUGUGAGUUAGAUAUCCUUUACUUACUUCAGCAGGAGAGCUGGGUUCUGCUGCUACCAUAUUUUGUUAGCUUCUGUUGAUUCUGUUCUUCUGGCUGGCUUGGUAGUCCCUGGUGGCUGCAGUUUUCUGAGACUAUUCUGUAAUGGCAGAGGCCUCCGGUUGUUUGACCUGGUUGCGCUGGGUAGCUUUAGGCCUCCCAGGAGGCAGGCAAAGCUAUGGCCCAGGAAAUGGAGUGCAGAUCUGCUCUUCGGGUAGAGGUAUGGACCGUAAGGUAGAGAACAGAAUGGGGUAGACCUCUGGGCUGUUGGGCUUGCUAGGGGCCCAGCACACAGGGAACUGGGGCUUUGGUAUCUUGCCUGGAUUUUCUGGAUGGCAGCAGAUCUCCCAGGAGGCAGCCUGAACUGUGGUCUGCAGAGUGCAGAGUCGUUCCUGCAGUUACAAAUGUGGGCCAGAAGAUGGCGCACAGAGAGGACAGGGCAGGAGACUCAGCUGCUGGGCCUCCAAGGACUGACCAGACAAUUUAGUGUAGUAAACCAGCAUAUCAUUUUUCAUCUUAUGUCUUUAUAGACAUGAUUAAAUAUCUAAUAUAAAGUUAACACAAAGUGGUAGUGUCUAUCUGAAAGCUUAGUAAACAGACACUGAUAUAUAGUUCGUAGGAAAGAGGAGGUUCUGUAUUUGUUAUGAGUAAAUACUAAAGUCAUCUUUUAAUUUUAUUUGCAAAUGCCAGCUUUGUGAGGUGACAGUCAGUUGGUUACCAAUCAAUACACAUCCAUGGGAAGAACAGCCUCAUGAGGUAAACAGAGUUUAUAGCGUCCAUGAACAAACCCACUUUCCCAUAUCACACAUUUCCAAAGCUAUUGUUGAAUAUUCUUUCUUAGGUAGUUAUGAAACCAUUAACACCAACCUCAAAUAUUAGAGGAGUGCUUCUCUCACAUUAGUAAACAGACUUUCACAUUUAUGCAAGCUUAUGUCAAGGGGCAGAUUAAUGCAUUCAGCUUAUACCAUGGGACAAAUGACACAGGAAGUAUUUAAUCAAGAUUUUCCUUAGCCAGAGAGAUGAAGGCUGCUUGGCAGUGCUGAGAUUUCUGUUCACAAAACACUGUGACCCACAACUUCACCUGCAAGUUCUGUCCGAAACAGCGUGGCCUCCUCUAGGAUUCUGACUCUCAUUUUAAUCAAGGACAAAUCAAAGAAUUGAUGUGUUUUCUAACUUAUUGCCACAUAUAAAACUUUAACUCAUUUUACUGAUACGGUACUAAUCUCACUAAAUAAACCACACAGGUUAUUUAUAUCUAGCUUGUCUAUGUUAUGAUAUACAUAUGUUAUACUUGAGAAUUAGAAUGUUAAUAUUGUGUUACUAUUAUAACUUGUGUCCCUGAGAACCAGAAGUUCAAAAAUCAAAGCCCUGGCUUUAAACUCUAAGAAUCCAUAUGAAUAAAUGAAAUAUUUUAUGUUCCAUAAGUAUACUAUAUUCUCAAAUAUAAAAGCAUUAUUCCCCUUUAAAUUUUCCAAAGUACAAAUUUUACAGGUAAACUUAAGGUUUAAAUGUUCAAAAAUAUUUUGUCCUUAAUUCUAUGGCUUCUGAAAAAGUUCCCCUCUAUAAUUACAAGGACUUUUCAUAAAACACCAGGUAUGAAAUGUUGGCCCUGUUGGUGGUUUGGACAUAAGUUGUGACAGCAAUGUUAUCCCUGUUUCACAUCUAGCUGUCUGUAUUCAUGACAUAUAUACACAUGUUAGGCUUCAUCAUGAACAUGAAGUCACAAAGACAAACCACAAAGACCUACAUAUUAAAUGGGUAGAGUUCCCGCACACCACAGAUAAAGUCUCAAACAAAUAAACAGAAGGGAAAUCUGUGGGUUCUGAGGAUUAUGACAUCAAACUGUUCAAGAAUAAGCGAGGGGCUAUUGACAUAUACUUGUAUGAUAACAAACACAGAUACGUGAUUAUUAUAAGACUCAGUGUAGUGGUUACUGAUGGUGGGAAAGAGAACAUUGCCAUUGGAUAUGUUACCUGAGGUUUUGUGAGGAAACUGAACAUUGUCUGAUUAAUCUGUUGAUUCUGAGACAGCUUUUUGUCAUAAUUCAUUUAAUCCUUCAUUUAUUUUAUGAACAUUAGGUAUUUGCUUUUAAAAUAUUGAAAGGCUAGGGGAGUAUAUGGAUCAUUGGAUAGACACUGGCUAUUCCUGUCCGAUUAAUCCAACCAUGAGAACUCAUGUAAGAAGCCAGAAUGUUGGCUUUUUCACCAGAAAUAGACUCACGUCUACACUGGAGUACAUAGUAUACCCUAGAAACAAGAGAGAUUUUGUCUCAGCAUAGAAGAAGGGGAGAGCCAAAGCCUGAAAUUUGUCCUCUGACAUCCACAAGUAUGCUUGUGAAGGUUCUAUUGCUGGGAAGAAGCCAUUACUAAAAGCAAGUUGGGGCGGAAAUGAUUUAUCUGGCCAUAUCACUGUUCUUCAUGGGAGGAAGACAGGAGCUGACACAGGGCAAGAACCUAAAGGUAGGAACCAAUGCAAAGGCCAUGGAGGGGGGCUGCCUCCUGGCUCACUCUCCAUAGCUUGCUCAGUGUGCUUUCCUAAAGAAUCCAAAACCAGCAGACCAUGAGUGGCCCCACCCAAAAAUGGAAUAAGACCUCCCACAGCAAUCACUUAUUAAGGAAAUGCCCUAUAAUUUACAGCGUGAUCUUAUGGAGAGGGUUUUCUCAGUUGAGGCUUUCUCCUCGCUGGUCACACUAGCUUAUGUCCAGAUGACAUCAAAUUAGUCAGAACAGCAUGUAAGCUGUGGGGUGCGCACGCGCGCGCGCGCGCGCACACACACACACACACACACACACACACACACACACACACACACAGUCCCCAUUAACUCUAACUCAAUACAGUGUUUUAAUUUGCUUUUCUGUCACAAUGAUUAAACACUCUGAACACAAACAAAAAGAAAAGGAUUUAUUUCAUCAUACAAUGCCCAGGUCACAAUCAAUCCCUAAGGGAAGUCAGGGCAGGAACUCAAGACAGGAACCUCUAGACAAGAACUGAAGGAGAGACCAUGAAGGAAUGUUGCUUACUGGGUGGUUUUCUUGCUUUUAAUCAGCUACCUUUCUUAUGUGCCUGCCCAGGUCUACCUGUCUCAAUGAUUAGCCAAGAAAAUGACCACAGACGUGUCUCUAGGCCAAUCUAAUGGAUGCCGUUCUUUAGCAAAGGUUUCUUCUUCUUCUUCAUUUUGUCAAGUUAACAACCAAGUUUAGUACACACACACACACACACACACACACACACACACACACACACACACAAAGAGUAUUGCAAGAUUUUCAUUUAUUUAUUUAUUCACUUCCCAUCCCAAGCACAGCCUUCCUCUCCUCCAAAUCACCCCUCACAUGGAUCCUCACUCCACGCCCCCUCCCACUCACCUAUGAGAAAGGGUGGUCCAUCCCUAUGAACCAAUCUACCCUGGCACCUCAAGUCAUUGUAGGACUAGGUACUUCCUCUCCCACUGAGGCCAGAUAAUGCUUCUCAGUUGGGGAAGAAGAAUCCACAGGCAGGCAGCAUAGUGAGUUAAUCCCCCACUCCACUUGUAGGGGAUCAUAUGAAGACCAAGCUGCAUAUGUUCUACAUAUGUGUAGGGGACCUAGGUCCAUCUCUUGUAUGCUCUUUGGUCAGUGAUUCAGUCUCUGGGAGCCCACAUGGUACAGUUUAGUUGACUCGGUUGGUCUUGUGGAGUCCCUAUCCCCUGCUGGUUCUUCAGUCCUUCUUCAACCCAUGUAAAAAUCCUCGAGCUAAUGUUUGGCUGUGGGCCUUUGCAUCUGUUCCAGUCAGCUGCUGGGUUGAGCCUCUCAGAGGACCUUAAUGCUAGGCUCCUGUCUGUGAAUCCAGGCUGACAGAUACAAACAUAGCCUGAGACUCCAAGAGUCUUGAAUGAGCAAGGCAGGCCCAUAAUGUGUCCAUGUAGGUCUGAGGACUGAGGCCCGCUGUGUACAUUCCCACCCAAAUUGGCAUGGGGUUGCUACUGCAUUCAUUUUUGUCCAUCUCCCACAAGACACCUGUGUAUCAAGGGCAGCAGUGACAAUAUAGCUGUCAACAGUGUCUUCACCUGUUGUAUCCUUGUGACAAGGCUCUGGUCACAAAAAGACAUCAAGGUCUCACAGUAUGUCCCUGUGAAUCAUUACCUGAGCAGACAGAGUUGUUCUUUCCUCCUUCCACACAUAGACCUCUGUGGAAACAUGGCUGACUGUUACAUUUUCAAAAUGGAGUUCACAUUUGUCUCUAAGGAAUCUAGAUACACAGUUACAGAGACAGCCCCGAGAGCAUCCUGACACAUGGGACCAUGGCUGGGAUCCACAUUCAUCCAUUUCAAACUCACGAUGCACACCAGAAUGCUCUUGAGGACAUACACACAUGUAACUUCCUAGCUCACUGAUCCAUACAGCUGCAUUCAUGCAGGGAUCAGAAACGCGUUCAUCCACUUCCAAGUCGCAGUGCCCACCUUGGUACCCAGGCUCACAGAAGCAGGGGUAGCGAUUGACUCCCUCCUAGCACACGGCUGCACUGUGGCAAGGGCUGGAAGCAUACUCACCGUCAUCUGUCUCACAGAACCUUCCAGAAUAUCCACCCAGGCCAUACAGACAGGAUGCUCAGGGCCCGUACGGCAGGUGCGUCCAUGCUGGCAGGUGUUCCCUCUGCAGGAUUUAGUGGCAGUUCCAUGGUUCUACUAGUGACAGAAUGACAUUGGCAUAGGUAGCUCCUUUUCCCUGGGUAUCCACACAAGCGCUAAUUCCUUGGCAGGGACAGAGAAGGAAGGAUCUUUUAGAUCACUACAUAAAACAAAGAAACAACUAUGUGUGCAGACUUAUAAUAUGCAUCUUUGAAGACAUGGAAAUUUAAGCAUGCUGGGGAAGAUUGCUAUCAUUGAGUUAUAUCUCCAUGCCCGGUAGCUUUACAUGUGUGUGUUCAUGUCAGAAUAUGUGUACACAUGGAAGCGAGAGUACAGCCUCCAGUGUGGUUCACCUUUUUGCUUUUAAAGAAAGGGGCCUCUCAUUGUUCUAGAUCUCUCCAAUUAUGGUAGGAUGGUUCACAUCUGAGCCCUAGGGAUCACCUUAGCUUUGCCAUUCCAGUAACCAGCACACACCAUCGAAGGAGCUUUUCCUCACAUAGGUUCUGUGGUAAACUCAGUCCCUGGGCUUGCAUUGCAAGCAUUUUACUAAAUGAGACUUUUAUCCAGCCAAAACUUAUUACAUUUCUAAUUUGCAAUAUUAAACUUUGAUUUUUUUGAAACUUCUACCGAAUCAAAUUUACUUGUAUCAGUUUAGAGUUCUGAGUUUGAACAUAGAUGUGAUAUCCCAUAACCAUGACCAGAUUCAAGAGAAAGGACUCCCCUGUCGUCCUAGGAUGCUCUCUGCCACUUUACUCUUUAUAUAUUCUAUCCUGUACAAGCCCGCCUCAUGUCACUCUCUGGCAAUCACUGAUCUUUCUUUCCUUAAAACUUUGCCCUUCUGGGGUGUCAGGGUGUGAAAUAAUAACAUGGAUAGCCUUCUGAAUAUGGAUUAUUUCAGUAGCAAUAAUAAAUUUAAAUUUGUCUCUGUGCUGACAUUUCAGUAGUUCAUUCUUGCUCAUCAUAGCAUUACUAAUCUGAUUCUUCUUUUAUUACCUGUUCCUUCUUCGAUACCUUCCCAGUUUGGUGAAAUUAUUAUGAAAACUGUCUACCCUGAGAAGGAAAAGGUGCUAACAGACAUAAGAGACCAGACGCCCCAGAAAGGGGGCAAGAGUGAUGGAGCAGGAUGUGCCUUAACCGAGUUUCUCCUCUUUCCACCUCAGAGGUUUGCGUUGUUCCAGAUGUUUACCUUUGGUUUUUGUUUUUUAACUUAAACUUUCCCCAAGUUUGUUUUUCCAUUGUUUGCAUACAUAGCCCUCCUUUGAUAUCUUGGAAACUAAACACAAUCCUUAAUUUAUUUUUCUGCAGAAUUAUAGGAAGGCUGCCUUAUUUUGUAUAAAAUCUCCCUGAUAAUUAUCCCAUCUGCAGUGAACAUUCAUUGGCUUAAGAAUGGAUUACAUAAAAUAGGGAUGUUUUGUGAUUAAAUGGACAGUAGUUUUGUUUGGCUCUGUAUGGUUCUGAUGUUACAUUUCCUUUCUUGCACAACCCCAUGUUUCCUGCACUUAAUUACCUAGAGUUCCCAUUGUCUUUAUUUCCCACAUUCUAUCCAGUUAGUUCAUCAGUGAGCCUUCAGCAGGGCUUCCUGUCUGUUCCUCUUUCUUUUGCUCCAUUUCCCUGUAGCCUUUGCCGCUAUUCUUUCAGUCCCGGAGGCCAGUUCUUCUGCGCUCCUGUGCACACUGCACUCCUUAUACCGUGCGUUGGCUGCAUCUCCCGUGCAUCCUGUCCCAUCCUGUCAUGGAGACACCCCUUUCACCAACUCCUACUGGAAAGGGAAAGGCUGCAUAUACUUUAAGUGGCCAUUGCAAACCAUUCUACUUUAUGGUCACUCUUCAUAGCUUGGGCAUUUUUUUGUGCCCAUUAAAGCCAUUCCAUCAUUUUUAUCCAAAUUCCAGUGCAAAUUUCAAGAAGUCGGGGGCUCCAGUAAUUAAGACCCACUUUGUCUUUAGUGGCCUAAAGUUUACUUUCCUGGUAUGGUCUUUUCAGACACAUGGCUUCAUGCUCAGUACACAUUACCUUCCCUUUCAGUCUUAUGUCCUGGAGCCCUGCUGCCUCCUAUUCCUUCUCUGAUACUUUCUCCCUCUUCCUCUUCCUGUUCCUGUUCCUGUUCCUGUGAGUGACCACUUGAGUGACAUCUCGCCUCUUGGAUAGCCUUUCACAUUGCUUUUUCUAUCCAAUUGUUUAUAUCUGUGCCUUUUAGAGCUGACAAUCUCAUUUUUCACCUCUUUCCAAAUAGCUCCUUUUUUUAUAAACCACGACAGAUAUGAUUUUGUUUUCUGAUCCCCAAUAACCUCCUGCCAUGUUUUCUAGGCUCCUUCAGGGAGGGUUUUUCUUGAUUGUUUUAUUUUCUCUUUUAAACUGUGGAAGAUUAUCUUGUUUCAUAUGUCUCUUUGGUUUUCAUAACAAGGUUCUAACAAACAGGAGAGGAUUAAACUCCUGAGUGCAUGGUCAGGGACUGUCUAAUGGGUGGGGAUUCCUUCUCUAUGACUUGGUUGAACACCAUGUGUUGGGGUUUACAAGUCUCUCUUGAUUCUGUACAAUAUGGAUUUUCAUGACAAAUUUUAGAAAUAGUCUAAAAGUUUCAUUUUUAAUUUACACAGGUAUAAUGAGAAAUACAUAGGAAGUUUACAGGGAAAAUACUGGAAACAUUAGUGAUAACACGUGGUGAUAAUAGUCUACAUUAUAAGAAAACAGGAGAGAAAAAUUCAAUUUCCCAUGAUGAAAAAAGUUUAAAACUUAAGCAAUCAAUUUUGUCGAGCUAAUAGAAUUUCCUGUGACAUACAAAGGGUCAGGAUUAUUACUUAUGACAGCUAUGGUAUUUCAGAGCUUACACAUCCUGGAAACGGUCUGUCCUUAGCAAAUAUUUAAGAGGAGGUGUAAUUCUGCAGUCAGAGCAUGGGUAAACUCAGAAGUGCACCAGGAGACAGAAAGGGGACUUUGCCCUUUUGUUUCAGAAUCAUAUUUAUUGGAGUCUUGAUACCUUGAGCUAUCAGAGCCCUCUACUUAGCCAUCCCUCACUGAUGUGAGAAAACAACACUACCCUGAAUGUAAAAUUUUUAUUCUAGUUAGGCUUUAAUUUCUGGUCAAACACACUUUUUGCUUGUAAAAUACCAAAUCUCUGUUAUUUUAACUACAUAUAAAUUACAUUAUUUUCAUGUCUAAAAUACUUUCACGUACUAGUUAUCUUCUGAAAAACUCCCAGUCUUCCUCUUCAUGUGGUAACAAAAGAAAGGGAUGGGCGCUAGACAUGACAGUUUUAGAUGCCAACUUUCUUGAGGGAAAAAUAGGCAGGAGACUAGGAAGGAGUCACAGUUCAGUGUGCAGCCUUCACUUUACCUCUGCUGUCCAGAAAGAGACACAGUCCCAUUUGUUUUGUUUGGUUUUGUAUGUUGUGGCUUUUUUUUUCACAUUUUUUCUUUUAUUGGAUUUUUAUGUUUUGAAUGUUAUCCCCUUUCUUAGUUUCCCCUCCAGAAACAUGCAAUCCCAUCCCCCACCCCCUCUUCCUGCUUCUAUGAGAUGCUCCCUCACCCACCCACAAACUCCCUCCCACCUCCCUGCCCUGACAUUCUCCUACAUUGGGGCACUGACCCUCAACAGGGACCCUGGGCCUCUUCUCCCAUUGAUGCCCAACCAGGCCACCCUCUCCUACUGAUGUGACUAUAGCCAUAGGUACAUGUCUGUGUACUCUUGCAAUGGUGGUUUUGUGUCUGUGAGCUUUUGGAGUCGGAGGAGGGUCUGGUUGGUUGAUAUUUUUGUUCUUAUGAGGUUGAAAAUCCCUUUGACUCCUUCAGUCCUUUCUCAAAGUCCUCCAUUGGGGACCCAGUUUUCUGUCCCUGAUUGGCUGUUAGCAUCCACCUCUGUAUUUGCCAACCUCUGGUAAAGCCACUCAGGAGACAGCUGUAUCAGGCUCCGUUCAGCAUGCACUUCUUGGCAUCUGCAAUAUUGUCUCAGUUUGGUUCAGUAUAUGGGAUGGAUCCCCAGGUCGGGCAGUCUCUGGAUGGCCUUUUCAUCAGUCUCUGCUCCACACUUUCUCUCUGUAUUUCCUCCUGUGAGUAUUUUUGUUCCCCUUCUGAGGAGGUCUGAAGCAUCCACACUUCAGUCUUCCUUCUUCUUCAGCUUCAUGUGGUUUGUGAAUUGAGCAUUCCAAGCUUUUUGGAUCUGUUUGACAAGAACUUCAAUUUUCUGAAGAAAGAAAUAGAAGAAGACAUCAGAAGAUGAAAGGAUUUCCCAUGAUCAUGGAUUGACAGGAUUAAUAUUGUAAAAAAGGCCAUCUUGCCAAAAGCAAUCUACAGAUUCAAUGCAAUCCCCAUCAAAAUUCCAACUCAACUCUUCAUAGAGUUAGAAAGAGCAAUCUGCAAAUUCAUUUGGAAUAACAAAAAGUUCAGAAUAGCGAAACUAUCUUGAUCAAUAAAAGAACUUCUGGAGGAAGCACCAUGUUCUGCCUGACCACAGGCUCACAACACAGGAGGCAGCCAUUCAUCCACUGAAAUUCCUAAAACUGUUGGUCAAACAUCAGUCUUUCCUCCCUUUAAGCUACUUUCUUCAGGUUCUUGUCACAGAAUGAAAAUCUAGCACACCAUUUACCUGAAAGACCAAAACUUCAAGUUCACCAUGAGGAUGGCUAAGAGGGCUCAGGUACUGCACUCAGGGUGGCAAAUCCCAGUUUCUGUUGCAGCUACGAGAGACCAUGUGUAUUUCCAUCAAUGAAAAUAUGCAAACUUGUUAAAUGCAACUUCGGGAAGAUCUCCUUAGGAUGAGAGCAGCUUGGUUUCUUCUCUCCCUAUGUCCUCCUUUUCUUACAAUCAAGUGAUAUUUUGGUUUACAAGCAGCCAUCUUGAAGACAAAGGCCAUAACUCCUGAGAUGUCUGUAUCUGACAUCAUUAAGUCUAAGUCACAGCACCUUCCUUAAAACAUAUAUCAUUGACUUCCCUAACAUAUUUGGGGGACCAGGUAAAUAGAAUUGUCCUGUUUUCUCUUAGAUCUCAAAUACAACUCAGCAAUAGGACAUUAUGAAACUAAGAUCAGAAGAGAUCAACCUACCAAACACUAUCCAAUGCUAUCAUUCAAACAAGCUCUAGACUAGGGAUGUCCAACCUUUUGACUUCUCUGGACUACACUAGAUAAGCAAGAAUUGUUUGGACCAAAUGUUAAAUCUAAUGGUGUCCAAACUAUGAACAAAGUGUCAUGAAAGCAGUCAUAAGUUUAUUGUAACAGGCUAACAGAAUACUGUCAUCUAUGAAGUUCACACUAGAGAAACAUAGAAUCAUGUUACCAAACAGAAAAUCACCAAGAUAUCUCAUCAUGUUUUAAGAUUAUGUGUUGUACCAUAUUCACACCUAACCUGGUUACAUGUGGCCUGCAGGCUGUGGGUACCUCUGUUCUAGACGCACCAACACCUAAGCUGCAUCUGUGAGGUUCUCUGUACCCAAAUUCACUUUACUGCUCUUUGGUAAAGUCUUCUGAAGUAUACAAUAUCUUGUGAACUAUCAAUGUACAAUUCCUUCUGUUUCAUUUUUCUGACUGGUGCUCACUGGACCCAGAGCCACACAAGACCUGGGCUACAUCCCCAGCUCUGUGUCUCUCCACAGCUGAUAACAGAGCCUCAGACCUUAAUUUUCCUUGGAUGCACAAUUCCCUCUCGAUGCUCUAAAACGUUAUCACCUAUCUAAUGGGUUAAAUAUCAUGGGUUAAUUAUUGUAGGUUCUGAUGAUCAGAUUUUCAAAGCACAAAUUGUUCUUGGAAUGUGCUUUCAUGCUCUCUGAGGAGUAGUGGACAGGAACAAGUUCCCUUCAGCUGUUGAGAUCCAUGUCUGUUACUGAAAACGAUGCUUUCCUGUGUGCAGCUUCUCCUUGUUCUCAUGGCUGAUCAUACAGCCUGAUCUCAUGAGAACUUGACUUAGGUGACCUUUCUUAAUCCUCAUGGGAUGCAUCAUCUGAGGCUCUGGAUAAUGUUGACUAUUUCAGAAAACUUUAGUCUGUCCUAUUUUUAGAGCCCCCUCCCCCAGGGUCUUGCUGCCAACUAGAGCAACAACAGAAACAAUCAAUUUCUUUAUCUUUUCUACUUCCUAGACACCAUCCUAAUUCUGCUUUUACUUCAGGUUCCACAUCCAUUCACAAACCUCAGAAUCCAAUCUUUCAAUCUCACUUUCAAAAGACUUCUUAUGAUAUUAUUGAACACCCCAAUUUCAAUAUUACUGCAUCUAUACCAUGCUAUUUGCCAGGUAGGGUAGCAUAUGGACAGCAUCCAGGAAGUAGGACAUGGGCCUAUGUGAAGGACAUUGUUCACUGCAGAGCCAAUGGACUCAGUUCUAUAUGACGAGAUUAUGUCUAAUCUGAGUUAAUUUGAGCAAGCCUAAUGCCUUUCUCUGACAGUUGUCUGUGAGGGAGGCAUGUGAGGAUUCUGUCUAACGAGGUAAGCAUAGAUACCUAGAGUUUUGUACAAUAUUUUUCACUUGGUAGGUGAUAUGCAAGAAAUGAAAGCCUUGGGUUUUGGCCAGUUGUUAUUUUUAUUAUAUUUGUUAUUUUUUUGUUGUUAAUAUUAUUAUUAUUAUCAUCAUGAUUAUUAUUAUUGGGUUUAGGUUUUUUGAGACAGAUUUUUUUUUGUUUUUCUUUUUUUGUUUAGCACUAGACCUUCAGGGACUCACUCUGUAGACCAAGCUGGCCUCAAACUCAGAGACCUACUGUCCCCGCCUUCCAGGCAUGUGCCAUGAACACUCGGCUAUUAUUUGCUUGUUACUGUUUGAGGAUAUUAUGUGACCUGGAAGAACAGACAAAACAACCCUUGCAACCUUAGAAGCCCAGCUUGUCACAUUAUUAAUCUGAUCCUGGAAAUACUUUUAGGCUUCUCAUUUAACAGUGCACAUAAAUGCACAUAGGUUAAGCCCUUCCGUGGGAUGCUCUCCUACUGUGGCUGACUGCAAUUCCAAGAACACCUAGUUCUAAGCAGCUUGCUCUUUCUUGCAUAUGAUUCUGACUGUGCUCUUUGGAUUCCAAGAAUUCUGACUCUUAUAAAACAAAUAUAAUGUCCAACCAAAGAGAGAAACUGUAAAGAUGGGUGUGUUGAUCAGUUUAGUCUCAUAAAAAUCAUAUUUGAACUUCUAAACUCAUAUAAUAAAAAGUUAUCUUCUUUAUAAUGUUAAAGUUCAUUCUUCCUGACAAACUGCACCCAGAUGGGUUGUGUCUGAUCGCAAGUACACCCUCUAGUAUUGCUAAGAAAGAAAAGGCCUAUAAAUUACUUAAAAUGGAUCUGUAUAUGGAAGAUGUUCCUUAAUUUGCAGGUAUUUCCAUCUAUUCUUUGAGUGCUAGCAUUUGUUUAGACAAAAUCAAUAACAGUAUCACCGCCCCACCAUUGAUACAAACAGAAAUGAAAGGAGGUUUUUCUACUCUAAUGCUGUUAUAUAGUAGGGCUAAUUUUACUCAAAGUUGAAGAAAAUUCUCUCUGAGAAAAACUCAUUAAACUUCAUUAUAUUUCAGUUAGAGACCUGUAUUAUUAAUUUAUGAGAAAAGUUUUGAUUAUUUGAUUAUUUGGAAAUGAAUAUUUUCUAUCAUAGUGAUACCAGGCAUCUCCUUCAACUUCAUAGUGACCAAUGAGUCUGGAUCAGUACAUUAUCAAAACGAGUUACCUGGAUGGUAAGAGCGUUAUCAACUCCAUUUAAAAGAAAAGGAUAGCAGUGUUGUCCUGUGAUCUAAUGUCUUCUAAAAAUACCCAAGAGAGGAUUUCUCAAUCUUUCAUGUCAGUGAACUGUUGACAGACUGAAAUCAAUCCCAUCUGUCCCUCCUUGGGCAAACAUAGGUCUCUUCCUUCCAAGUCCAGGGUCAGUGAGGAUGGCUAAGAGGAAAUCACCUUCCCAUCAUAAAACUUGGCAAAGUUGCCUAUAAACUACCUCCUAGAUAAAAGGCAGUUCCGUGCUAUACACAGAACACUGGCUGGGUUCUGGUUUCAGGACCAGUGAGGACACUUGGUGGCUUUUGAAGGAGCAGGAAAGUGUUGAGGUUUGAUCUUUUUCUGUGUAAUGGAAUACUAAUUACAUGGCCUGGUGGAUGAGAGAAUCUGCAUGUAGACCCAGGUGAGGCUAUGUAACCUCGUCCCCUAAGUUAUCCCUGCAUAGUGAUUAAAGAUGACUACAGCCUAUACCUGAGCAGAGUUGAUAUGGGCAGCAUUUGGGGUUCCCAGGUUUGGGGUCUGAGCAGGACCGUGAGGUGGGAGAGAGAAGAUGGAAGAAUGAGGAAGCCAUCAUGGAGUAGGGGAAUCAUGAAAACACAGCCAGGAGGGCUAGCCAAUUGGAGUUACGAGUUCUGCAGAUGGUACAUGGCAAAUUAUAACUCAGGGUUAUUGAUGGGGAAGUAGAUUUUAACAGCAUAGCGGGUAGAUAUCAGUCCAGCACUAGUGCUGAUUAUUAUUAUAAAUAUAAAUGUUGUAUGUCUUUUAUCUGGAAUCUUGAUGAUCAAAGGCAUGUAGAAACCCAUAUCUGAGAUUCAAUAUUUCUACAAUACAUUAGCAAGCCAAAAUGUGGCAAUAACUCACUUUUAAUAAAACAGACUUCAGAUUCCCAGAUUGGAAAAAAAAUUGUGCUGUCACUUUAAGGCUUAAGGGGCAGGAAGUCCCAGUUCCUUAGCAAAGUUAUUUCUCCUCCCACCCCCCAAAGACUUGCAAGGUUCCAGCAAGCAUAGGAGUGCAUGCUGGUUUGGUAUGCAUGGUUCCAGGGCGUGAUUGCAGGAGUUAACCUGAUCUAAAAUGUAGCUCUACCCCUGCUCACCAAAUGGCACAGUUCCUGAGAGACAAAUCAAGAGGCUUAAACACUGGCCGGCCAGCCCAGGGCCUUGAGGGCUCUACUUGGUGCCUGGCUGCUGCUGCACUGCCACUAAGUGCAGCUCUGAGCUGGGAACAGAUGUCAGCCUAGUAACAGGUGCAACCAGCAUCUGAGCUAAGAAAUCGCAGGCGCAGGAGGCAGAAACAGGCAGAUCUCUGAGUCCUGGACCAUGCUGGUCUACACAAUAAAGUCAGGGUGGGACCUUCUGCUGAUAGAUACAGCCACUUUCAAGCAAUAGUCUAGGAGCCAAAAUUACAUACUCUCCUUAUUUGUAUACUAUAUAGGUUUUUGCUUGGUAAUAGGAAUGUUCUUAGUAACUUAAAGAAUAAAAUACACACCACUCUUAACUGUAUAUCUGAGUAUAUUUAUCCACAUAAGGUAUGUUUACAAUUUCAAAUUAAAAGAUUAUGGUUUUCUGUUGCCCAAAAGCAUUUUGUCAAAGGAAAGAUAAAUUCUCAUGAUCAAUGACAAUGGGAGAACCCAGAAAAGGGGUUGGGGAGAAGUUGUUUUGCUUUUAUCCAACAGAAAAACAAAGCUAUGCUCACAAGAAAUAAAUGGAGUAGAGUUUCUUACCACUCUGAGCAGUCAGCCUGUCUCCGUGGAACGGGGUCUCCCACAGGAGAACUGAUGGCAGCUCAUGAGAGCUAAUGUGAAAUAGGCCAUCUUGCUGGUAUGAACAACCAGGCUCUGUAAAUGAGGGCUUCCACAGGAGAACUGGCAAUUGCUCUGCCUGGCCCAUGGCCCAAGCCACAAACUCUCAACAGGUAAUAAUGGCUGGGAAUAUGCUUAUACAGUAAAUGAAUGAAAUUUGAAUGACAUUGGAUAUAGAGAAGGAUAUCAAAUUAAUUUAUAUAACAAGACUGCGCUUGCAGGAUAUUUAGCCACAGAAUAUUGACCUUAAAUGAAGGGAGAAAAAAUGGGAAUUGAUAGAAGUGUUUUCAAGAUUAUAUAGAUAAAUAAAUCAGGAACGUUGAUCUCAAUACUUGGAAGACAAAGGCAGGGACAAAUGGGUUCCUUGUGAGUUCAAGGCCAGCCUAAUCUACAGUUCAUGUCAGCCUGGCUACGCAGAGAAACCCUGAUUCAAUAAAUAAUAAUUGCUUUAAAAUAUCAAGAAGAAGGUGGUUGUAAGUUCUAUGGUUGUGUUGAUAUUGCAAAUCCUCUAUGAGAGAGGUCAAAAUAGAGCAGACCUAAAUAAAGGGGGGGGGCUGCUAAAUUGAAUUAACCUCCACUUUUGAUGACCUUGGGUUGCUGGACCAAGGACACGAUAUUUUGGGGAAAAGAUUUUACAUUUAUGUUAACAGGAAAGAAGAAAAGGCUUUGAACUCCUUCCAAAGUUUAAGGAUCAGAUCUGAUGAAAGGAGACCCCCCUGAAGAUCUCGAGUACAGACAGGAAUAAAUGAAUUGAACCAAAUGCACUGGUGGUGUGUAUUAUUAAACCCUCUAUUGAAACAGCUCUGAAACUGACUGGGACAUAGAUAUGUCUCCAGACAGAACUUGAGCUUACGUGACCACUAGAUCUUGUUGUGUUCAGAGUUCUUAGGACCUAUUACACACUACCCCUUCCGAUGGCGUGAAGGGAGAUUUACGCUGCAGUUUGAUUACGUGUUCAAAGUAACUUCUGAAGAGAGACAGUGUUCCUUCACCUGCUCAAAGAACAAAAGCAUCCUUAGCUGGUGUGUACAUCCUCAUACUCCCUAUGACUGUCUUCGUAGUGCUAUAUACUGCUUGUAAGAUUUAUACAUUACAGAAUGGAAGACCAAGUGAACAGCUCUGACAGGAUUCGACCUUGGGGGUGCUGAGACGCUGAGACCUGCUGUCCAGCUCCCUGAUCUACCAGACCUCAAACCGAUGCUGUUUCCAGAGACUUGCUUCUAGAGCAGCUUUAGGAAGGACUGCUAAUCCCAAAUGACCUUUCACACUGUUCCAAUCAGGACUUCACCUAAGCCCUGAACUUUUCAGCACCUAGAGACUAGAAAACAAAUGAUGCCAGCCAGCUUUCUUUUCACUUAAACAUUUUUCUAAUUUUGUUGUGAGGCUCCAAACAGGAAUUCUUCACCCCAAUUCAGCAAGAAGCAAUUCUAUAAAGACAGUCAUCCCAGUCCCUUAUAUUGGGGUGUAUACUUUUGGUCAUUUUAUAAAUUAUAUAUGUGUUGUCAUUUAUGGGAUGAUUUACAAAUAAUGAUAGUCUUGGACAGGCAGGAAACUAAACAAGGAGCAUAGACUUGGGAAUUUCCAUCUUACCUUUCCUUUUCACUCCCCUCCUUUCUUUCUCAGAUAAAGGGAAAGGGUUGAGAAGAAGAAGGGGGGAUACAGAGAAAUUUAAAAUGUAGACAAAUAGGGGUAGAUUAUUGAAUAUACUCCUAAUCACCACCAACAAAAAACACCAUUUUAUAGCCAUAAUCUUACCUUGGUAGAGAUGUUUAUAUUUUGAUGCAGAACUGAGGUUAUAUUUCAUACAUUGACCCAGAAUUUUAUAUAUAUUGAUUCAGGCUUUAUUAGUAUAUAUCAUUGUAAAUUGAUAAAAAUUUAAGAUUAAUUUUGUUGCAAAUUAUGAUUAUUAUUAUUAUUGUCAUUAUUAUUAAUAAUGUAAAUGUUGUGUGUCUUUUAUCUAGGAACUGAAUGACCAAAGGAAGGGUAGAAACUCCAAUUUGAGAUUAAAUAUUUUCUACAACAAAAAAGUUACACCAGGGCACAUUGCAGAAAGGCAUCCAGUCAUUCAUGCUGAGGGCUGAGGAUUCUCAGGACAACCUUCCCAAUGCCUAAAGCAGUGUGGGGUUUGUGUGUGAGCAUAUGUGCAAGAGUGAACCUGUGUGGGUGUAUGUGUGUGUGUGUGUGUGUGUGUGUGUGUGUGUGUGUAUAGAUAUGUCUGAACUUGUGUGAGCAUUGUGUGGAGGUCAGAGAUCAAUGCCAGUUGUAUGCCCUAAUCCCGUUGCACUUAUAUAUUGAGUAGUCUCUCUUUUGAAUCCAAAACCCACUGAUUAGUCUAGUCAGCCACCUUGUUCAGGUAUCCAGUCUCUGCUUCCCGAGUGUCCAUUUUGCAUUUAUGUACCUACUAGGGACUUGACUUCUGAUCUUCAUGCUUGCACAGCAAGUGCCUUAUCCACUGUUUCAUUUGCCUAGUCCUUUUAUGGGUAUGUAUGUGUAUAUGUAUCUGUACUUACAGAUACUUAUGUGCAUAAACACACACACACACACACACACACACACACACACACACACACACACACACACACCUCUGAAGGCAGAUAUUAGAAUAGAAACAAGAGGCCAUGAAGAAAUGCUACUUACUGGCUUGCUUCUUCAGUCUUUCUCAGGUAGCUUUCUUUACAUAGCUUGGGUUCGCCUACCUAGGGAUGACAUCACUCACAGUGGGAUGAGCGCUUCUCCAUCACUUAGUAAGGAAGACAAUGCAUCUCAGGUAUAGGGUCCACAGACCAGUCUGAUCACAUCUAUUAUUAAAUUGAAGUUACCUCUUCCUAGGGAUGUGUCAAGGUGACCAACAACAUUAGGAAUCAAACACACACACACAUAUGCACAAGCACACACUCACACAUAUGCAAAACCUAUAUGCAUGUGUAUACACACACAUACGAAAGCACACAUUUUUAAGAUAAUUUUUUGAGAAUUUUGCAUGAACAAUUUUUUAUUUCUUUUAUUUUUUUUUACAGUCCAGUCAUGUCUGCUCUUCCACUGUUGCUCAUCCCAUUCCUCCUCCCCCCUGUCUACAAGAAGAGGUCCCUAACAUCCCCCUACACCCCCAUCACCCACCCAGAUCUGUCAACUCCUUGGAGCCGAAAGUCUCUCCAAGUUUAGGCACUUCUCUUACCAAGGCCAGAACAGGCAGGCCUUUGCUGUAUGUGUGUCCAGGGCCUCAGACCAUUUAAUGUAUGCUGCCUACUGGUGGCUCAGUGUCUGAGAGAUCUCAGGAGCGGGGUUUGGUUGAGACUGCUGGUAAGCCGCCUCCUCAGCUUCUGCCAGCCUUUCAUUAAUUCAAUCAUGGGUCCCAGACUUCAGUCCAUUGGUUGGGUAUAAGUAUCUGCCUCUGUUUCAGUCAGCUGCCUGUUGGGCCACUAAGAUGACAGGUAUUCUAGGCUCCUGUCUAUAAGCGCCCCAUAGCAUCAGUGAUAGUAUCAGGCCUUGGAGCCUCCCCUUGAGAUGGGUCCCAAUUUGGGCAGGCCACUGGGCCUACAUUCCCUCAGUUUCUUCUCUGGUUUUGUCCCUGCAGUUCCCUUAGACAGGAACAAUGCUGUCAGAGUGUUUGACUGUGGAAUGGCAGCCCCAUCCCUCCUCUUGAUGCCCUGUCUUUCUACUGCAGAUGGACUCCACAAGGUCCCUUUCCCCACUGUUGGGAAUUUCAUCUAACGCUCUUCCCUUUGAGUCCUGAGAAUCUCUCAACUCCCAGGUCUCACCUAGAGAGUCCUCUCACCUGCCGCCCACUGAGGUUGAAUAUUUCCGUGUAUUCUGCUGACCCUCAGGACUACUCUCUUGUCCUUACCACAAUACCUGAUCAUGUUCCUCCUUUCUCCUCCCUUUCCUCUCUCUCACUCAGGCUGUUCCCUCCCUCUGCCUCCCAUGACUGCUUUUUUCUCCAUCACAAGGAGGAUUAAAGCAUCUUCACUUUGGGCCUUUCACAUGUUUAUCUCCUCAAAAACUGCGUGGCAUUGGUACAGAGGUAGACAGGUUGAUCAGUGGAAUAGAAGUGAAGCCUUGGAAAUAAAAGCACCAUUCAUGGACACUUGAUCUUUGACUAAGAAGCCAAAUAUAUACAGUAGAAUGUUGCUUGUCAUAUAUUUUUAAUAGGUUUUUAGGGCAAACCAAGAUGGUGCACUGUUAGAGAACCAGGUUGGUCCUCUAGUACGGUGGCUCAGAGAAGGUACACCAAUCCGAAUGGCUGCAAUAAGAAACUCAGGAAUGUACCCUGGGUGUUCUGUCCUCUUUGGCUAAUAUCCACAUAUUAGUGAGUAUAUACCAUGCAUGUCAUUUUGAGUCUGAAUUACCUCACUCAGGAUAAUAUUUUCUAGUUCUAUCCAUUUGACUGCAAAAUCCAAAAUCUCGAGUCUUCUUUUGAAGCAAACAGGAUUUCAGUUUGUUUUAAGCUCAUUUGUUUUCCAGGGAAGCAGGCGCUGGUUCAUUUAUCAGUCACUUUGUGCAGCAUGAAAUAGAAAUCUGAUAUAAUUAUUUUCUAUUGAACUGGCCUAUUUGAACAAGGCCACACCUUUUAUUCAACAUAUCUAGAGAGCUGAUACGUAAUCUACACUCUCAGAUGCACUUAAAUCCAAUGCACUUAACAAAUUACCCACACCUCAGGGAUAAAGAAACAAUUAAAUAAGGUUCCUGAAGAGCCAUUGAUCCUCAGGCAAGGGAGGAGUCCUCCCUGCAUUUCUGAGAGAGUAGCUCACAAUGGAUUACACAAAAUGAUGUUUGGUUCUUCUGGGUCCAUUUAAGCUUAGCGUUUAUUGAUUGCAUUGGGAGAAUUCUAAGGCCCUGAAUGAGACAUUAAAAUCCCUGCUUACCCAGAGAUACCUGGCCAGUCCUUCACAGAGGACUAGAAAUACACAUUCCCCUUGCUUCCCUGUCUCUUAGAGCUUCAGACAAUGGAAUGUGAGCAGAUCUGUUUCACUUUGCAAGAAAACACUGAAUCUUCGGUCCUACAACCAAAUUCCUUUCCUCUCUGUAUUGAGAAAUUGGAGGAAGACAGAGACAAUCUCCUGCAGUAGCCCAGUAGCCUGUAUGUCACCUGGAAGUGCAGACUGCUCCAGAAACCCUUGUUUUCAGUCUUUGCCUUAACAGGGUUCCUAAGUGCACAAAUCAGAGCUGUUUUCAUCAGGAGUGAACCCACUCCCUCUGUGCUACUCUGUCAUCUUCUAAUCAGGUCUCACAAAACCAAACACAGGGAACCUUCUCCUCACAGCAUGACCCCAGUUUGCUGCUGUUCUCCUCAAACCACAUGAAUUGGGAGACUCAACAAGUCAC